rnacentral:rRNA from 1 species
UACGAAGGGUGCAAGCGUUACUCGGAAUUACUGGGCGUAAAGCGUGUGUAGGCGGCUAGGUAAGUCGGAUGUGAAAGCCCCGGGCUCAACUCGGGAAGUGCACUCGAUACUGCUUAGCUAGAGUACCGGAGAGGUUGGUGGAAUUCUCGGUGUAGAGGUGAAAUUCGUAGAUAUCGAGAGGAACACCGGUGGCGAAGGCGGCCAACUGGACGAGUACUGACGCUGAGACACGAAAGCGUGGGGAGCAAACAGG